UGGGUUUGUCCUAAGUCAAAUUUCUUCAAGUUUGACCAACUUUAUAGAAAAAUAUAGCAAUAUUUUUAACAAAAAACAAAAUAUACUAUAGAAUAUAUUCAAUGGCGGAUUUAAUCAAACUAAUUUGGUGUUGUAUAUGUUGCUACUUUUCCAUGAACUUGUUCAAGCUUGAAGAAAUUUGACCUUGGACAAACCCAA
rnacentral:pre_miRNA from 1 species